rnacentral:rRNA from 1 species
AGCGAACGUUUGCGGCGGGCCUAACACAUGCAAGUCGAACGCACUAGCAAUAGUGAGUGGCGCACGGGGUGCGUAACACGUGGGUAAUCAACCCUUCAGCCUGGGGAUAACGACUCGAAAGGGUCGCGUAAUACCGGAUACGGCGCGAGAGGCUUCGGCUUCUCACGAGAAAGCCACGCAAGGGGCACUGAAGGACGAGCCUGCGGCCCAUCAGCUAGUUGGUGAGGUAAGAGCUCACCAAGGCUAAGACGGGUAGCUGGUCUGAGAGGAUGAUCAGCCACACUGGAACUGAGACACGGUCCAGACUCCUACGGGAGGCAGCAGUGGGGAAUAUUGCGCAAUGGGCGAAAGCCUGACGCAGCCACGCCGCGUGAGCGAUGAAGGCCUGGUCGUAAGCUCU